rnacentral:rRNA from 1 species
GACGAACGCUGGCGGCGUGCUUAACACAUGCAAGUCGAGCGGGAUCCAACCGGUGGCAACACCGGGGAAGAUCUAGCGGCGAACGGGUGAGUAACACGUGAGCAACCUGCCCCGAAGACUGGGAUAACACCGGGAAACCGGUGCUAAUACCGGAUGUCGUCAUUAGGCCGCAUGACCUGAUGAUGAAAGGNUUCAUCGCUUCGGGAGGGGCUCGCGGGCUAUCAGCUUGNGGUGGGUAACGGCCUACCAAGGCGACGACGGCUAGCUGGUCUGAGAGGACGACCAGCCACACUGGGACUGAGACACGGCCCAGACUCCUACGGGAGGCAGCAGUGGGGAAUCUUGCGCAAUGGGCGAAAGCCUGACGCAGCGACGCCGCGUGAGGGAU